GAGGUUGCAGCCCUGGCAUUGCUAUUGCAUCAAGCUUCCCAGGUGAUCCCGAAGCCGUGGGCGACAGUUCCUACCCACUUCAGAAGUAAUGACCAUUCUCACGGUUAACUGGAGUAACUGCACUGCGGGACCUUAAGAUGUAGCCAUCCGAGGUAUGGACGGGCAUGCUGUGCAGGAGGCGGCCGAGAGAAAACAGCAGCCACCAUCCUGUUAAAUUAAACUCCACGGAGCUAUUCUCCUGCAUUCUCAGAGAAGAGAACCGGAGGAUGCAGCCUAGCAGUCAAGAGGCUCCAUUCAUGUCUUCCUUCUUCUUCUUUUUUUCCCUGAACAUAUCCAUCUAUACAGCAGGAAAAAGUCCAGUGCAGCUGCUCUGCUCAUGUCCCGGUGAUGAGAUCUAAAGCCUUUGGAAAACUUGGAGUCAUAUCUGAGGAACUAGAUGGCUACAGUUUUAAUUACAGUUUUAAUUACAGUUGGAACUGUUCCGGCAUGGAAAGUCGUCUUUUUGUAUGUGUGAAGUCAGAAGCUAGCAUUAUAACUUGUUUCCUUAGGUGUUAAUUGUUCUGUCAGAUACGAGGAGAACCAUUUCUUCCUGGACAAAAUAAGUGGUGACAAUGUUUUUGGGGCUUGAUUAAAGGCAAGGAAUGUGCAGAGAAGAAUGGGGAAAGGGCAAGGUGUCAGCCAGGCCUUCAUUUUACCCCAAUCUGCUUCUGAAGCCGCUUCCUGGGGAGUGUCACCUGCAGCUCAGAACAGGGUAUUAGACCCUCUGUGAGGGGGGUGUGAAGCCACUAGAGAGACAGGCAUUCAUUUUUCUCAAAGAUUUGUGGGGAAAACAGUAUUUUUAUAUCACAUAUAACUUGUUGGAAUAUAAAACUGGAAUGGACCCUUAAUUGCUUAAAAAAAUGAGGCUUAAAAGGCACGUUGCUUGGAGCCCUGCUUAGCAUGCUGCUUGGGACAUAGCAGGUGUUUAUUAGGUUGAGUCUAACGGAAAUACCAAAGACUGGCGAUUACAUACGCUUCAACCUGAUACAGGCACUUGCAGUGACUGCAUCCGAAGCGCUCCAGGGUGUGGUUCUUUUGGAGGGAGUCAGUUCUUUCUCUGGAAAAGCUGGAGAAACCCUGGUGUAGGUCACCUCCAAUCUCUGGGACUCUCAAAAGUCACGUGUUCCUCAGAGUUGGCCUCACAUCCCAGAGCAUGGCCCUUGCCUGCCAAUAUCUUGUAAUACCCAACGGCAGAUACCCAGUCAACUUGAGCAAGCCAUCGGGGGCAUCACAGGCCGACUCAGGGCAGAGCUCUUAGUUGCUGAGAAGCAGAGCCUAAGUAUGAACAGCAUUGAAUGAAUACUAAUAUUAAAUUAUUUUUCUUGUAAGAUUUUUUUCCGGGGGGCAGUCGCGUUUUUUGUUCAGAGAAAACACUAGUCAGGAAAAUUGUAUUUGUCAAUAUAAUGUUCGCGAUGUACUGUUUUUGCCUAAAUGGAGGCAGUUCAGAUCCACCUACACACUGCAGCUUUCUCUGGCCAGUCUGUCUGCAGAGUUUAAUGCAGGGUGCUUGUUAAAAUCAAUGGGAAGGGUAUAAUCAGUCUUGAUGGGAAAAAGAACAAAUGUGAGGAAAAAAUCGAUGAAGCAGUGUUUUGAUUCCUGGUCCUUGUAAUUAUAAUGGCGCUAUGGUGAAGCUCUUACCAUUUCCGAUAACAAACCCCUUUUCCGGCUGUAUUCUCUUGGAUACGUUUUCACUGUCAUCUAGAGGGAAAUUGUAUGACAGUUGCCAGCAGGAAUAACCUUUAUUUUUAUUCACAAAACACAUAUAUUUCUAUCAAGAGUGCCAACUAUAAUAGCACCCCAACUACUUCGUUGAAGUAGCAUGUCUUGGCCAGAUCGGAAUUUCCUGU